rnacentral:misc_RNA from 1 species
GGUGGCGGGGUCCCCCCGGACCCCAAGAGCCGACCUGAAGAAGGUCCGAAGGCUGUCAGUGGCCGGGCAAGAGAGGAACAAGUGGUCGGUUGUCUCGUCCGGUCCCCCACAGAGGCCGCAAUGAGACGAACCGGCCCAACCCGGGAUACGGUGGGAGAGGACGGCCCGAGAGGCCAGAGCCCCCCCAACAUUAACCAACCAAAAACCGAGACCUUCGCAGGGGCCCGGAUCGACCAGAGGCGGUCAGCCCAAAGGGCAAAGGCGACC